CGGAGGGUGCAAGCGUUAUCCGGAUUCACUGGGUUUAAAGGGAGCGCAGGCGGAUCAGUAAGUCAGUGGUGAAAUACCCGUGCUUAACAUGGGAACUGCCAUUGAUACUAUUGGUCUUGAAUAUCGUUGAGGUUUGCGGAAUGGGUCAUGUAGCGGUGAAAUGCAUAGAUAUGACCCGGAACACCUAUUGCGAAGGCAGCAGGCUAAGCGAAGAUUGACGCUGAGGCUCGAAAGCGUGGGGAUCAAACAGGAUUAGAUACCCUGGUAGUCCACGCCCUAAACGAUGAUUACCCGACAUACGCGAUAUACAGUGUGUGUCUGAGCGAAAGCAUUAAGUAAUCCACCUGGGAAGUACGACCGCAAGGUUG
rnacentral:rRNA from 1 species